ACUAACAAAAGAUGGCUACGAGGGUAACAUGUUCGGAGGCCUCAGCGGAGCAACAGUCAUUGACUCCCUCGACACCCUCUACCUCAUGGAGCUGAAGGAGGAGUUCCAGGAGGCCAAGGCCUGGGUGGAAGAGAGCUUCCACCUGAACGUGAGUGGAGAAGCAUCCUUGUUUGAGGUGAACAUCCGCUACAUCGGGGGACUCCUCUCAGCCUUCUACCUGACAGGAGAAGAGGUGUUCCGAAUAAAGGCCAUCAGGCUGGGAGAGAAGCUCCUGCCGGCAUUCAACACCCCCACGGGAAUCCCAAAGGGUGUGGUGAGCUUCAAAAGCGGGAGCUGGGGCUGGGCCACAGCCGGCAGCAGCAGCAUCUUGGCAGAGUUUGGAUCCCUGCACUUGGAAUUCUUACACCUCACUGAACUCUCUGGCAACCAGGUCUUCGCUGAAAAGGCAAGUCUCCUCCCCACCCUUCUUCCUGCGGAGCAGAGGGAUGAGCGUGCGGCUGCCACAGGGUUUUCAGAGGCGAGUGGGUCCUCCCUCAUGGAUCAGCAGGAGGGCAGUGGGGAGCCCGGGAGUCCAAGCUACCGCUAAGAUAGCAAAUAGUAGCUACCUAUACCCCAACGCCAGGUGGCAGGGAAGGUGAGCACGCAGAGUCAAUAAGAUUCUACACAGGGAAAGGGAGAGACAAGAUUCUGCCGGGGAAAAGGUUCUCACUGGUCUGCGUCAGCUCAGUGGCAACCACCCAUAUGUGAAAUUUGGAGAAAGUGCAGCUGAAAUCUAGGCACCACCUUGCAUUGGCAGGAAUUGGCCACCCGCUGCAGAAGUCCCCUUUCCAGAGAAGUUUAGCUUUUCCAUGCGAGAUCUGCCUGCCUUCUUCCCUGUGCCUGUUUAGCUCAUGCCAUCAGCAGGCUGGCAUGGCAAUACCCUGCCAUGGCAGAUGCCCCGACUGUUCAUUCCUGCUGUUCAAGGCCACAUGGGACACUGAGAGCACCAAUCAGCCCCAACAGCUGCCCACACCUGGCCUUGGGCAGUCCCCACUACCUAGAAGUGUCGCUGUAGGUCUGACCUUAAAUCCAAAGAAGGGAAGUGCUCACACCUCCCUCAGAUGGCACUCAGGCUCCAGCAGCUACGGUCCCUCCUGAGGGCUCCCUGGAGAGAUGGAAGCCCUGCCCAUCCUCUAGAGCCCUCCAAGGAGAACUUUGUGGCAGCACCACUCCCAAAGUCUUGUCUUCCCCCUGGAAUGCCCACCUCUUAGACCAGUACGGGAGCUGGGAGAUGACUGAUAAAUUCCCGCCUCUACGCCACGACUCCCAGCAUGGCAGCUGGGAGAUGAUAGAUUCCCACAGCUGCCCCAUGGCUCCCAGUAUCAUGUCGCCGUCCAGCCUCAAAGCAUCACCUGGCGCAGCUGUGAGGAAACAGAUUUCUGGGCUUCACUCCAGAGCCAGGCAUCUACAUUUUUAAUACGCAUUCGUGUGCUUUUUGACGCAUGGUUUGGGACCACUACUUACUCAAUGUAGGAGCCCACCUGAGCGUCCUUAAGAAGCUCAAGAAGAGUUGUUCAGCCUCUUCUUGAUUACUUUCUCUGACAAGGAGCUCACUGCCACCCUUAAACAGUCCGUCAUCCUGGCAGCCCUUCCUUCGAAAGUGUUUUCCUUACAUUGAGAGGGACUCUGCCUCCCUGAAACUCCCCCACUUGAAAGUUUGUGGAAUGAGUUCAACCUCACUUCCUAGUAGCUCUUAUUUUCUGAUCCUUUCCCACCUCCAAGUCCCAUCCCCCAACCUCCCUGUUUCCGUUGCUCUUAAAUCAGACUCCUCUAGGAAGGUUCUGACCAGCUCCGAAUGGAGUGGGACAGGGAGCUCACUCCAGUCCCUGGUUAUUCUGGAGUAAUAGCUACCCCUGCCUGAGCACCCACUAUGUGCUGGGCACAUUAUAAUGGCUCUACUCUUCCCAACAACCCUAUGACAUGGGUCUUCCUGGUGUUCCCAUAUUUACAGAGGAGGAAACUAAGACUCAGAGAGGUCACGUCACUUGCCCUGGGCCUUCCAGCUGGUCAGUGAUAAAGCCAUGAUUCAAGCCCAGGACGUGCUGGCUCCUUCCAGACCAGAUUGAUAGAGCAGGCUGCAGGCUUUUGCUCUAGAGUCCAUCUGUCUAUCUCUGUCUCCUCUACAUUUACAUACUCUGGCUAUUUUCAUCCCCCAAUCAUGCCUCCCACAGAGGCAAUUAUUGGCAGUCAACAAAUUGGCCCAAAUUCUAGAAGCGCCCGCACCCUCCAGGGGAGCUAAUUUAGCCUGCUUCACUGCUCACCACCAGGACAGUCGAGAGUAACGCAGGUACAAGCACAUUCCUGUCCCCGUAAUGGACUUUGUUAACAUAAAUGGAUAUGAAAUCUGACAUGGCAAAGCCAAGUGCUGUCGCCUGGAAAGGAAGGUCUGCCUGCAGAAAGGUGGCUCUCCCGCUUUCCCGGCCCCGUACACACAUAACUCUAUCAACAUGAGACAGUGUCCCUUUCUCUCCCAAGGGGUCUUGUGCUGGCUAGGACGUGCCGAGUAGGAUUUAACCACUGUCGGAGAGCAGGCACUAUGGAUAAAGCCCUCCUGAAUUCCACUUCUCACCUUCAUAGCCCCAAAGGUUGCAAACCCAGCCUCUUUCUGCUCCAGCUGGGGCAGCCUCUGCUCCGUGGUCACCGCCCUGAUCUGUGUUGGCCCAGUGCUGCCCUGUGUCAGGCAGGAAUAUGUAUGGUUUAUGUUGUCAGAAUUCAUUCAUGUCUUAGCUUUGCCACUUAAGGACCAGGUGGCCAUCAGCAAGUCACCAAACCUCUCUGAGAUUCAGUUUUCUUGUUUGUUACACUGAGAUAAUCCCUUGUCGGUUACGAGGGUUGGAGAUAAUGUAUAUAACGGAUCUGGCUCAAAGGAACUGAAAAAGGAUAACAGCUGUUAUUGCUUUUUAUAAUUAUUAUUAUUUUUAUUAAAACCCUGAAAUGCCUGUUAGGGCAUGGGGUUAUUCAGGAGCCCAAGCCUCUCCCCUGAAAUGAUUCCAGGGUAUCAGAUAAAAUAGCAUAUUACUAGAUUGGGCCAUAUGAAACUGCCAAUAUUGGACCUUUUUUUGAUUGCCUUAUAUGCUUGCUGUUUUUUAACUAGCCGGAAUACUUAAGUUAGCAACACUUAGCCCUAAGCAGUUUUCAAGAAUACAGUACAUUGUUAUGAACUACAGUCAUCAUGUCUUAUACCAUAGAUCUCUUGAACUUAUUCCUCCUAAUUGAAAUGUUAUAUCCUUUGAUCAGCAUCUCCCCAACCCUUGGUAACCACCAUUCUACUCUCUACCUCUACUUCUUUUUUUUUUUUUUUUUUUUUUUUGAGAUGGAGUCUCUCUCUGUUGCCCAGGCUGGAGUGCAGUGGC
rnacentral:sRNA from 1 species